CGUGCACCGGUGGGGUCCCUCGGCCUGGCCUGUGCCGUCUCACAAUCCGGGACCACUCAGGGGAUGUCGUAGAGCCAGUUUCGGCCCAAUCCCGCAGGCCAGGCCGAGGGACCCCACUGGUGCACG
rfam:Myotis lucifugus cont2.16234, whole genome shotgun sequence.